GGCUUAGGAUGAACGCUGGCGGCGUGCCUAACACAUGCAAGCGAACGAAGCAUACGGACUGGAGAUUCGUCGAAGGACCGUAUGACUUAGUGGCGGACGGGUGAGUAAUGUAUGAGCAACCUGCCUUUUCAGAGGGGGACAACAGUUGGAAACGACUGCUAAUACCGCGUAACGUAUCUGGGGGCAUCCUCGUGAUACCAAAGGAGCAAUCCGCUGAAAGAUGGGCUCAUAUCUGAUUAGCUUGUUGGCGGGGUAACGGCCCACCAAGGCGACGAUCAGUAGCCGGACUGAGAGGUUGAACGGCCACAUUGGGACUGAGAUACGGCCCAGACUCCUACGGGAGGCAGCAGUGGGGAAUAUUGGGCAAUGGGCGAAAGCCUCGACCCAGCAACGCCGCGUGAAGGAAGAAGGUCUUCGGAUUGUAAACUUCUUUUAUGAGGGACGAAGGACGUGACGGUACCUCAUGAAUAAGCCACGGCUAACUACGUGCCAGCCGCAGC
rnacentral:rRNA from 1 species